GGAUAUAGCUCAGUUGGUAGAGAGCUUGCCUUAUAUGCACAGGUCCUGGGUUUGAUCCCCAGCACCA
rnacentral:tRNA from 1 species